rnacentral:rRNA from 1 species
AGAGUUUGAUCCUGGCUCAGGAUGAACGCUGGCGGCGUGCUUAACACAUGCAAGUCGAACGGGGGCGUGAUGUGCGAGAGGGAUAGUUUACUAGACUUCAAACUUUUCACGCCCUAGUGGCGGACGGGUGAGUAACGCGUGGGUAACCUGCCAUAUACAGGGGGAUAACACUUAGAAAUAGGUGCUAAUACCGCAUAAGCGCACAGGGGCGCAUGCCCCGGUGUGAAAAACUCCGGUGGUAUAUGAUGGACCCGCGUCUGAUUAGCCAGUUGGCAGGGUAACGGCCUACCAAAGCGACGAUCAGUAGCCGGCCUGAGAGGGCGGACGGCCACAUUGGGACUGAGACACGGCCCAAACUCCUACGGGAGGCAGCAGUGGGGGAUAUUGCACAAUGGGGGAAACCCUGAUGCAGCGACGCCGCGUGAGUGAAGAAGUAUUUCGGUAUGUAAAGCUCUAUCAGCAGGGAAGAAAAUGACAGUACCUGACCAAGAAGCCCCGGCUAACUACGUGCCAGCAGCCGCGGUAAUACGUAGGGGGCAAGCGUUAUCCGGAUUUACUGGGUGUAAAGGGAGCGUAGACGGUUAUGUAAGUCUGGAGUGAAAGCCCGGGGCCCAACCCCGGGACUGCUUUGGAAACUGUGUAACUGGAGUACAGGAGGGGCAGGCGGAAUUCCUGGUGUAGCGGUGAAAUGCGUAGAUAUCAGGAGGAACACCGGCGGCGAAGGCGGCCUGCUGGACUGAAACUGACGUUGAGGCUCGAAAGCGUGGGGAGCAAACGGGAUUAGAUACCCUGGUAGUCCACGCCGUAAACGAUGAAAUACUAGGUGGUGAGGGG